GCCUAGUGGCGCACGGGUGAGUAACGCGUGGGAACCUACCCUGGAGUGGGGAAUAACUACUGGAAACGGUAGCUAAUACCGCAUAAUCCCUGAGGGGGAAAGGCUUCGGCCGCUCUUGGAUGGUCCCGCGUCCGAUUAGCUUGUUGGUAGGGUAACGGCCUACCAAGGCGAUAAUCAAUAGCUGAUUUGAGAGGAUGAUCAGCCACACUGGGACUGAGAUACGGCCCAGACUCC
rnacentral:rRNA from 1 species